rnacentral:rRNA from 1 species
ACGUAGGUGGCAAGCGUUGUCCGGAUUUAUUGGGUUUAAAGGGUGCGUAGGCGGCCCCAUAAGUCAGUGCUGAAAUAUCCCGGCUUAACCGGGAGGGUGGCAUUGAUACUGUGGGGCUUGAGUAAAGUUGAGGUUGGCGGAAUUGACGGUGUAGCGGUGAAAUGCUUAGAUAUCGUCAAGAACACCGAUAGUGUAGACAGCUAACUAAGCUUUAACUGACGCUGAGGCACGAAAGUGUGGGGAUCAAACAGGA